AGCGAACGCUGGCGGCAGGCUUAACACAUGCAAGUCGAGCGGACCUUUCGGGGUCAGCGGCGGACGGGUGCGUAACGCGUGGGAACGUGCCUUCCGGUUCGGAAUAACCCUGGGAAACUAGGGCUAAUACCGGAUACGCCCUUAUGGGGAAAGGUUUACUGCCGGAAGAUCGGCCCGCGUCUGAUUAGCUAGUUGGUGGGGUAACGGCCUACCAAGGCGACGAUCAGUAGCUGGUCUGAGAGGAUGAUCAGCCACACUGGGACUGAGACACGGCCCAGACUCCUACGGGAGGCAGCAGUGGUGAAUAUUGGACAAUGGGCGCAAGCCUGAUCCAGCCAUGCCGCGUGAGUGAUGAAGGCCUUAGGGUUGUAAAGCUCUUUUAUCCGGGACGAUAAUGACGGUACCGGAGGAAUAAGCCCCGGCUAACUUCGUG
rnacentral:rRNA from 1 species